UACGUAGGGGGCUAGCGUUGUCCGGAAUCAUUGGGCGUAAAGAGCGCGCAGGCGGUCGUACAAGUCGCGUGUGAAAGCCCCCGGCUCAACUGGGGAGGGUCACGCGAUACUGUUCGACUCGAAGGCAGGAGAGGGUAGUGGAAUUCCCGGUGUAGUGGUGAAAUGCGUAGAUAUCGGGAGGAACACCAGUGGCGAAGGCGACUACCUGGCCUGUUCUUGACGCUGAGGCGCGAAAGCUAGGGUAGCAAACGGG
rnacentral:rRNA from 1 species